rnacentral:sRNA from 1 species
GGGACUGCAUUCAACUUAGAGCCAACUAAGACAAAAUGGGAAUACAACAACUUGGGCACUGACCUGUCCCCUGAGCCCAAAAGCUUCAAUUACCCAUUGCUCUCAUCCCCAGGUGAUCAGUUUGAAAUUCAGCUAACCCAGGAGCUACGGUCCCUCAUCCCCAACGAGGAUGUGAGAAGGUUCAUGUCUCAUAUUAUCCGGACCUUGAAAAUGGAAUGUUCACAAAUGCAUGUGCAAGUGACCUGUGCCAAGCUCAUGUCGCGAACAGGACUCCUGAUGAAACUUCUCAGCGAGCAGCAGGAAGCAAAGCCAUCAAAGGCAGAGUGGGAUAUGGACCACCAGAAAUCUAAUUAUAUUAAUGAGAACAUGGAACAGAGUGAACAGAAACAGCAGAAGUCAAGUGAGCUCAUGAAAGAGGUUCCAGGAUAUGGCUAUAACAACAAACUCAUCUUGGCAAUAUCUGUGACUGUAAUACUAACAAUUUUGAUUAUAAUUUUUUGUCUUAUUGAGGUAAGGACAAUAAUUAAUUCAGGUUUUCAGAAUGCAAUCCUGUCUUUGUGUGGAUUCAGAACCCACAAACUGAAAAUCAACGUCACUUUCCCACUUGACAUUCUUCUUCUGUUGUUUAAGGCUGAGGUAGGCUUUGUUCUUUUACUGCAAUGUACAUUCCAGGAUUUUUAAAGGAUCCUCGCUUCCAGGAGAUCUCUGUGAAAUGAAACCAAGUUAAUCCCACUAGACUAUUUUAAGAAGUUAAGUUGAUAUAAUAGCAAAAUUUCUCCCACCCAAAACUAUGUCAACAAUUGGAUGUACUCACCGAGUCACCCCUUACUCUGCCACUAAUUUAUUCCUUGUUGCUUAAAUGAUGAGAGACAUAUAAUCUCCACCCUCAUGGAGUUGUCCUCCUGGAGAGGAAGAAGACAGCCAAAAGAGAGAAGUAUUGUCUUGUGGACUUAUUAGAUUCACAUAGUAUCAUCCUUCUCC